UCGAUUCCCUUAGUAGCGGCGAGCGAAACGGGAAGAGCCCAAACCAACAAGCUUGCUUGUUGGGGUUGUAGGACACUCUAUACGGAGUUACAAAGGACGACAUUAGACGAAUCAUCUGGAAAGAUGAAUCAAAGAAGGUAAUAAUCCUGUAGUCGAAAAUGUUGUCUCUCUUGAGUGGAUCCUGAGUACGACGGAGCACGUGAAAUUCCGUCGGAAUCUGGGAGGACCAUCUCCUAAGGCUAAAUACUCUCUAGUGACCGAUAGUGAACCAGUACCGUGAGGGAAAGGUGAAAAGCACCCCGGAAGGGGAGUGAAAUAGAACCUGAAACCGUGUGCUUACAAGUAGUCAGAGCCCGUUAAUGGGUGAUGGCGUGCCUUUUGUAGAAUGAACCGGCGAGUUACGAUUUGAUGCAAGGUUAAGCAGUAAAUGUGGAGCCGUAGCGAAAGCGAGUCUGAAUAGGGCGUUUAGUAUUUGGUCGUAGACCCGAAACCAGGUGAUCUACCCUUGGUCAGGUUGAAGUUCAGGUAACACUGAAUGGAGGACCGAACCGACUUACGUUGAAAAGUGAGCGGAUGAACUGAGGGUAGCGGAGAAAUUCCAAUCGAACCUGGAGAUAGCUGGUUCUCUCCGAAAUAGCUUUAGGGCUAGCCUCAAGUGAUGAUUAUUGGAGGUAGAGCACUGUUUGGACGAGGGGCCCCUCUCGGGUUACCGAAUUCAGACAAACUCCGAAUGCCAAUUAAUUUAACUUGGGAGUCAGAACAUGGGUGAUAAGGUCCGUGUUCGAAAGGGAAACAGCCCAGACCACCAGCUAAGGUCCCAAAAUAUAUGUUAAGUGGAAAAGGAUGUGGCGUUGCCCAGACAACUAGGAUGUUGGCUUAGAAGCAGCCAUCAUUUAAAGA
rnacentral:rRNA from 1 species